AGAAUAAGCAUAUCUAUGAAAGGAUAUCAAUAUGCAAAUCUGUCCCAAAUUUCACAUCGCUUCCGUGUCAUCGUAUUUCAAAGCAACAGAGAUCGUAUUGCGUACGUGUAUUCAACAAACGAUAUAUCACUGAUUCAUUCUCAAUCCAUCAUCCCACACGUUGAACAGAAGAAAUUGAAAAUCGAUACGGUACCAAUUUUCCUUCGACGCUUGGCGAUUCACCUUCGAGCCUCAUCUCGAGGAAUUCUUUAACCACAGCUUGUCGGUGCCAUAAAGAUCGGUUUUGCGCAUCCAUGCAAUCGGACAAUAGACAAUUAAUAUCCGCAAAGGAAGAUCACGAUGCCCCCGCCAAGUGUACUUGCACCUCUUCGAAUCUCUAGGCAAUUAUUCCCGCAUCUUCCAGUGUCUUUGCGUUUGUUCUCGAAACUAUUCCAGUGAGAAUGUCAUGGAAUCAAGAAGAGAUUACGAAUAGGAUACAUUUUAUCUCGGUUUAGCGAUCGGCCGAGCGUAUCAUCGAUGCUGGCCGGUUUCGAUAGCGAAACACGGCCGAUUACGAAAGGUUGAUGACAUCGCGAUUCCCCCGAAGCGUUUCAUGAUCUUUACCCGUAAAUCUUCGGUUUAAUGACACGCGGUGUCGUGCGUACGCGAUGCUUGGAAUUAUAAUCAGAUUCGAGGGCGUUAUGUAGGGUGCGCCGCAGCGUUAAAACAGUUUUUGUUCUUUCGAAAUCGAACAAGCUCGACUCGAUUAACCUUACGACCUUCGAGAUUUUUUUUUCCUUUUCCUUUUUCGAUACCAAUUGUGUACGCGUGAAAGCGUUGGAGAGGUGACGUGUAUUAGAAAUCCAUCGGACUUGGAAAUCUUGGCUUUUUGUGGAGCAGAGUGUAGGUGUAGAGAAUAAUAGUUAAGGAGUUUCGUCAACGAAUCGUUAAGCUCGUAUCGCUCGUAUAUUUAAUAGAUGAAGUGAAAGCACAAUUCGUUCUCAGAUAAAAACUGUGCCGACUUUUACGAUCGAUUUUCUGAUACAACACGAAUCCUCUAACGGAUUGCUUGCGCAAACAAUGAGUUUUACGAUAUGUUCGUGCGUUCCCAUCUUCAUACCAGGAAUUGUGUCGCAACGACAAUUAUCCAGAUCGAUUAUUAAUCGGCAAAAUAUAUCAAACGAGUAAUUAAUGCGUUCAGAGAAAUUAUUAUCAAUUUAAUUAUUCAAUAAACACGUCAUUUUUCAGAUCGAGUGUUAUUUUCUCGUGAUCAUAAUCUCUAUGAAUUGAUGAUAAUUCAUCGAUAAUUCAUCGAUCUCGAGGAUACACCAACAAUGGCAACAGGUGUAGAACGGCUGUAUAAAUUAAGACACAUCGACAGGCUGACAAAUUAAAAUGCUCCACACCACUCCUCGAUACAUGUAAUGAUCUGCCAUUUACGAAGUUCAAUGUUUUGCGACGAUGUUACUCGUGCUAUUAGUUGUACCUGGCCAACGAGGGAAGCAUUAGAAAGUGGCUGUUGUUCAUUGAUUUAUCCACAAUAUAGUCAUUUUACCGUUUGACAAUUACUUUAAAUUCUCUUAUAUAGAUUUAAUUUUAUUAUUUUUUAGUGAAGAAAACUUAUGAAAAAAAUUAAUUUU
rnacentral:lncRNA from 1 species